rnacentral:rRNA from 1 species
GAUGAACGCUGGCGGCGUGCCUAAUACAUGCAAGUCGAGCGAACAGACGAGGAGCUUGCUCCUCUGACGUUAGCGGCGGACGGGUGAGUAACACGUGGAUAACCUACCUAUAAGACUGGGAUAACUUCGGGAAACCGGAGCUAAUACCGGAUAAUAUAUUGAACCGCAUGGUUCAAUAGUGAAAGACGGUUUUGCUGUCACUUAUAGAUGGAUCCGCGCCGCAUUAGCUAGUUGGUAAGGUAACGGCUUACCAAGGCAACGAUGCGUAGCCGACCUGAGAGGGUGAUCGGCCACACUGGAACUGAGACACGGUCCCGACUCCUACGGGAGGCAGCAGUAGGGAAUCUUCCGCAAUGGGCGAAAGCCUGACGGAGCAACGCCGCGUGAGUGAUGAAGGUCUUCGGAUCGUAAAACUCUGUUAUUAGGGAAGAACAAAUGUGUAAGUAACUAUGCACGUCUUGACGGUACCUAAUCAGAAAGCCACGGCUAACUACGU